GAGUUUGAUCAUGGCUCAGAACGUACGCUGGUGGCACGCCUAACACAUGCAAGUCGAACGAAGUAGCAAUACUUAGUGGCGAACGGGUGAGUAUAAUGUGGGUAUCUGCCUUUUGGUGAGGAAUAACACGAGGAAACUUGUGCUAAUACUUCAUAAGCCUUCACAGGGAAAGUUUUAUACGCCAAAAGAUGAGCCCGCACUUGAUUAGCUAGUUGGUAAGGUAAUAGCUUACCAAGGCAACGAUCAAUAGCUGAUCUGAGAGGAUGAUCAGCCACAUUGGGACUGAGACACGGCCCAAACUCCUACGGGAGGCAGCAGUGGGGAAUCUUGCACAAUGGGGGAAACCCUGAUGCAGCGAUGCCGCGUGAGUGAAGAAGGCCCUUGGGUUGUAAAGCUCUUUCGUCGGGGAAGAAAAUGACUGUACCCGAAUAAGAAGGUCCGGCUAACUUCGUGCCAGCAGCCGCGGUAAUACGAAGGGACCUAGCGUAGUUCGGAAUUACUGGGCUUAAAGAGCACGUAGGUGGUUAAAAAAGUUGGUGGUGAAAUCCCAGAGCUUAACUCUGGAACUGCCAUCAAAACUUUUUAGCUAGAGUAUGAUAGAGGAAAGCAGAAUUUCUAGUGUAGAGGUGAAAUUCGUAGAUAUUAGAAGGAAUACCAAUUGCGAAGGCAGCUUUCUGGAUCAUUACUGACACUGAGGUGCGAAAGCAUGGGUAGCGAAGAGGAUUAGAUACCCUCGUAGUCCAUGCCGUAAACGAUGUGUGCUAGACGUUGGGAAUUUAUUUUUCAGUGUCGCAGCUAAAGCGUUAAGCACACCGCCUGGGGAGUACGGCCGCAAGGUUAAAACUCAAAUGAAUUGACGGGGGCCCGCACAAGCGGUGGAGCAUGUGGUUUAAUUCGAUGCAACGCGAAGAACCUUACCUACACUUGACAUGUUCGUCGCGUCUCUAAGAGAUUAGAGUUUUCGGUUCGGCCGGACGAAACACAGGUGCUGCAUGGCUGUCGUCAGCUCGUGUCGUGAGAUGUUGGGUUAAGUCCCGCAACGAGCGCAACCCUUGUCCUUAGUUGCUACCAUUUAGUUGGGCACUCUAAAAGAACUGCCAGUGAUAAACUGGAGGAAGGUGGGGAUGACGUCAAGUCCUCAUGGCCCUUACGAGUUGGGCUACACACGUGCUACAAUGGUACUUACAGUGAGAUGCGAAGAGGCAACUCUAAGCAAAUCCCUAAAAGAUGCCUCAGUUCGGAUUGUACUCUGCAACUCGAGUACAUGAAGCUGGAAUUACUAGUAAUCGCGGAUCAGCGUGCCGCGGUGAAUACGUUCCCGGGUCUUGUACACACCGCCCGUCACACCAUGGGAGUUGGUUCUACCUUAAGGCAAAAUGUUAACCUUCGGGAAGCAUUUGACCACGGUAUAGUCAGCGACUGGGGUGAAGUCGUAACAAGGUAGCCGUAGGGGAACCUGCGGCUGGAUCACCUCCUUU
rnacentral:rRNA from 1 species